rnacentral:lncRNA from 1 species
UCUCCUGCCUCAGCCUCCCGAGUAGCUGGGAUUACAGGUGCCUGCCACCACGCCCGGCUAAUUUUUGUGAUUUUUUUUUUAGUAGAGACGAGGUUUUACUACGUAGGCGAAGUUGGUCUCGAACUCCUGACCUCAGAUGAUCCACCCGCCUCAGCCUCCCAAAGUGCUGGGAUUACAGGCGUGAGCCACCGCACCUGGCCUGUUUAUUCUCUUAAGAGAGAAAAUGAGGGGAUUAGUGGACUGUAGUUCUGGACAAGGUGGAAAACUCUUAAAGUGGAAGUAUUGGGGCAAGUGCUCUGACAGGCUAGGAUGGUGCAGUCAGUCCCUUCACCCAGAAAUCAGUAGAAUGUUAACAGUUCAGACUCAAACCUUGUGAAAAACAGGUUCUAGAAAGGAAAUCCCUCACAGCAACUGGCACCAUAAUCAAGACAGAAUUUUUGCAGAAUAAAUAGAGUUACCUGCUUUCAGCCCCAGGUCGUAGCUAUUGUCUGCCCUGCUGAUAUGUGAUAAUAAUUUGUGAUCCUGUUGUCUUAAAAUGGGGUCACUCAUCUCCAGUAGAAUUAAGUCCACAGUGAAGUUGUCCCCCCAUCCCCAGAGAUAAACAUAUAUGAAUGAACUUACGUGAUAACAACUACUGCUGCCUGGGAUCAUGAGAGACCUGAACUGAACUGAUAGGAAGUGAAAGGUGGCUGAGGUAAUGAGAAUAGACCCAUCUGCAGAGGAUCAUAAAACCAGCAAAGACAAGAUCUUGUCUAAGAUGCCUUCACAAACUUUGUCCAUGAGAACUGUAAGGUCUUCUCCAGACCUGUUGGCUGCUGCUGUGAUCUCUGCCCAAGAGGAGCUUCUGACCAACAUCCAAAGGGCUUCUGGACCCACUGGACUCCUCUGGAGGUACCUUGGUCUCCCGAUCCAUGGCUGUGUUUUUUUACUCCCUUUAUCGCUGCCUGUGUGUAGAAUGAUAAUUGCACAAUUGAUAGUGUGAAGACCUCUUGAUAAAUGGUAAAUCUGAGCAUAUGUAUUUGGCUGACAUGUCAUUGUGAAACCUCACAGCUUCAGUCAGUGUCAGCACAGCUAGG